UACGUAGGGUGCAAGCGUUGCCCGGAUUUAUUGGGCGUAAAGGGCGCGUAGGCGGCCCAUUGCGUCCCACGUGAAAGCUCCUGGCUCAACUGGGAGAGGACGUGGGAAACGAGUGGGCUGGAGCACGGUAGGGGGCAGUGGAAUUCCCGGUGUAGUGGUGAAAUGCGUAGAUAUCGGGAGGAACACCAGUGGCGAAGGCGAUUACCUGGGGUUGAUCUGACGCUGAGGAGCGAAAGCUAGGGGAGCAAACGGG
rnacentral:rRNA from 1 species